UUGAACACCACAUUCAAAGCCCACCAUGUCGCAAAGUAAAUCCCAAUCUUGACCCUCCUCGCAGCCUCUGAUUUCGCCCCUUCAGCCUCUAUUGGCUGCGAUCGGUCGGCCUCGUAGGCCUUGCAUGCGAUCAAGGAUUCCUUUUGAGGUUUUGAAACUGCAAAAGCCUCAAUUGAGGAGACAUGUAGAGGUUUUGACAGACAUAGAACAGCUUUUGGGUUCUCCCGGGUUGGAAGUGACGGCAGAAACAAAGAUCUCUGCAUCGUUAAUGGAUUUUUUCUGCGAAAAAUUGUGUCAGAUCCAUUGAUGGUGGGUGCUAUAGCAGAUUGCUUAACUGUG
rnacentral:lncRNA from 1 species